rnacentral:tRNA from 1 species
GAUAAGAAAAGCACUUGAACCUUUAUUCUAGGGGCUACAACCCUACGUCUAAUUCGACCAUCUUACC